rnacentral:tRNA from 1 species
GGGGAUAUAGCUCAGUUGGUAGAGUGCUUGCUUCACAUGUACAGGGAGCUGGGUUCUAUCCCCAGCACCACCA